rnacentral:rRNA from 1 species
UACGGAGGGGGCUAGCGUUAUUCGGAAUUACUGGGCGUAAAGCGCACGUAGGCGGAUCAGAAAGUCAGAGGUGGAAUCCCAGGGCUCAACCUUGGAACUGCCUUUGAAACUCCUGGUCUUGAGGUCGAGAGAGGUGAGUGGAAUUCCGAGUGUAGAGGUGAAAUUCGUAGAUAUUCGGAGGAACACCAGUGGCGAAGGUGGCUCACUGGCUCGAUACUGACGCUGAGGUGCGAAAGCGUGGGGAGCAAACAGG